CGCCGCCUUCUUCCCUAAGCACCCGACGGUUUCCUUCUUCCCAAACCAUCAACGCCAGUCCUUCUUCUCCUCCUUCCCUAUUUCUUCUCACCGAUCUCUUAAUUUCCCCUCUUCUCCUUCCUAACGUCGCCCACAACCGACGUCGCCGCGCCUUCCCCUUCCCUAGUUCUUCAGCCGACCUUCCUUAGCCCUAGCACCGACCCUUCUUCUCCUCUACCUAGCGCCGGACAACAUUGCCACUGUGAGCUGAGCCCCUUCCUCCGAUCACCGAGCAGAGCCCCUUCUCUUUGCACCGCACCCCCGACCAUCUUCUCUUCGACCUUUCUUCUUCGCUGAGCACCGCGCCGCCGACGCAGAUCUUGCCUUCUUCCACCGGAUCUGGGAGAGGAGACCUAGUUCAGAAUUGUUGCCAUCGGAUCGCCAGUAACCUAGAUUUGGGUUCACAGUCGCGACGCCUCAUUCCCACUAUCGCUAGUGACACCAAGCCCUAACUGUCGAUUCUCCUCCGACACCCUCUGCCUAGCCUCCAGCGGUGUGCCCUAGUUGAUCUUGGAGGUUAUGGAUUUGGUGAGGAAAUGGUGCUCUGUGGCGUUAUUUGAUCAGCAGCAGAAGAUCUGAAACCACAGUAGUGAGGGCUACGAUUUUUAGGAUUCUGAUUUGAGACGAGUGUCUUGACGAUGGAUUGAUUGAUAAGACUUUUCUAUUGGAGGCGGGUACCUUGACUUAUCUUUGAUAAAGUCAUGUUGAUAUGUUUA